UCACCUCCGUCUGCGGUUGGAGAGAGGAGAUGGACUGGCAAAAUAUCUCGCGAGCCCACCUCCCGCGUAGCCGCCUCCAUGCUCGUGCAUCCUCCCGCGUCAAUGGCGCCCAAACCUCCUCAUCUCGGAUCCCGUGGGACCGAGGUGCGAGCAUGGAGGCGAGCAUCCCUGGUGGCCGCCGCGACCUACAGGCAAAGGGUGACGGCGGCGGCGGCGCUCGAUUAGAUCUGCGGGAGAGGGGGAGGGGAUGAGAGGGAGAGAUAAGGAAGAAGAUGAGAGGGAGAGAGAGAGAGAGAGGAAAGGGGAUAUGAAGGUCUUCUACGUCACCGCUCUCUGGAUGCACGCCAUCCACCCGCGCACGCUCGCCACCAACCUCGCCGGCUUCGCCAGGUUCGGCUGCCUCAAGGACCUCCCCGAGAUCCUCUAUCGUUUCCUCCAUGACCCCCGCGAUGAGCGCAAGGACCAGGACGACGUCGCCGCGGCGGCCCCGGGGGCAAGAGCGGCAAGCGGCGCUGCGUCGACGGCCUUGCCGCCGCCGCGGCUGAGGCCACCAAGGCCCGGCGCGAGAAGGAGGCGGAGCACGCGCAGGCCAUGCUCGCGCUCUACGACUCUGACAAGGCCUUCCGCAACCUCUACGACGGCGUCGCCGACCUCUUCGUCUGGCUGCUCAAGUCGGACCUGGAGCACCUGCGCACGGGCGACAUGGCUAAGAUCGUGUUCGCCGCCAAGUGCGCUCGUCGUACGCAUCGGUCUCCUUUGCUCCAUGGGUGCCGCUGGCUGAGGAUGGAGUAGCAGGCAUAGAAGAAAUCUACAGCCAAUUUCUCUUGGCUGCGCCAUCUUCCGCUGACAGUAACUCUACACAACAGCCUGCUAAGGUGCACCAGGAGAAGUCUGAUGAUAAGGCUGAAGCUCUUUCAUCUUCUAUUGAAGGAAAGAAUGAUAAGGAUGACCAGGGGUAGAUGACCAAAAAAAGGGAGCUGUGCUACUGGAAAGGGGGCUGGGACAGCAAAGAAAUCAAGGCAGUUACUACUCUACGUCAUCUAUGCAGAGAUUAAUUACCUAUAGAAAAGAAUGCCUUUAUCCUGAUAGGCAUGGAAACACCGCUUCGCAUUGAGUGCAUCAUCGCUAAUCAGCUACUAUCUAUGGUCAGCGGACAUGCUUGCUUAUUCGUGUAACAUAUCAUUACUCUAUCUGCUUAGCCUUUCCAACUUUUAAGAUUUGAUCAAUUCUUUAGAAGCUCGUACACAUCUAGAAGUAUUUGGUUUUGUUGGUCAAAUCCAUUGUCUGACUGUCCUUAUUUAUUUUAUUGUUCGAACAAGAUAUCAGAUCACCUACAUUCAUUAUUCUUGAUUACAGUCUCAUACUAAAGUAGUCUAAAAUGGUCUGAAUAGUUGUAGUAAUUCAUAAAUAUUUUCAGUCUAGUUCUUAUUUGGUUUCUAGGCAUAGAAUUUACUUCAAAAUUUUGAUCUUUAUUUGGUUAGUAAGGCUCUAGAAUAAAACAGACCAAUGAUAUAUAUACAAACAAACACAAUAGGGGUUAACUGGUACCUAGCUUUUGAAACCUCUCAUAUAUACAAAAUAUUAUUUGAGUAGAACAGGAGAGAUGCAAUCUUAUGGAUAUUUCCGCAUUUGUAAGAAACUUUCCAGCUUGGCAAGAGGGCUUAACUAGCCAUGUGUAGGACUCAGCCAUGCUGCCUUCCAAAUGAUUAGUCAUUGGUGUUUUCUUAUGUUCCUGUUAAUCCAAGUGCAUCAGAUAAGUAGACUGUUAUGUGGAAAAAAGGAAAGAGACUACUCUUUUGUUACUUACAUUAUAGAUAUAUGCUAUAACAUAUUACCUUUAUGCUCUCGAUUUCAGUAUACGCCUGCGAACAAGUAAGUCAGUAAUAUCAAUGCCUAAGAAUUACUUUGUUUGCCAUUUUAAUCGUUACAUCAGAGAGCAAUGGAUAUAGAAGAAAUAUGUAAACAGUUGUCCCUGGAAGAAAUAUGCAACAACUUAUUCAGGUUACUUAAUUAAUAACGCAUCUAUAUCAUUACAUAUACAUACUAAAUGUGCCUUUUGAGAGUGAGCUUCUGUCAGUACCUCACACUUAUCUUAUAUGCCAUUCCAACUAUCUGUUGCAGUAGAGAGCAAGGGACAUAUAAGAAAUCUCCAGGCAGCUUCGCUUAGAUGCAUCAUCUUCUGCUAGGACCUAGGAGUCAGCUUGAAGAACGACCUUUUCAGGAGACUGCAACUAACAUGUUGGAUGGUGAAUAACCAAAUUUGUGGACAAAGACAGAGAGUUCAUCGUAAGGGGUGGUGUUUAGGAUAUAUAUACACAAAAGAGGAAACUUUCUUUUGUACAUAACCAAAUUAUAUGAUGUAAUUGACCACUAUUUCUAAGAAAUGUUCAUAGUGUAUUAAGUACAUUUUAUUGUGUCACUUUUUUUAGGGGUAGCUUUAUUCAUCAAACACCACAAAGUGUGCAAUGGAGUUCAUCAAACCAGCCUUUAUUGUGUCACCUACGUUUACCUUCUU